CAAACAUUUGCAUUAUUAUUACUGUGUCGUCUUCGCAACAUAAUUAUUUUUCGGAACGCCAACUGGCUUUCAGUUUGUAUCUUUUAAAAUCUCUGUUAUAGGCUAUACAGUAUAACUGUUGCAGCACUCGGGUAAGUAGAAAGAGUUUAACGUAAGUGUCCAAAUAUGCCUCCAACACAACUGGCAUGUCAGCAGAUAUAUAAAAAUAUACUAUCAUGACAAAUGUAAAAUCUAAUGAACUAUGUAAAAAUAACUUGCCGGAAGAAUGCAUGUUCAAUAAAGUGGAAUAAUGACAACCGAG